GGAGAACUAGCUAGCUAAAAUUGGGAAUGGUGUGGCAUUUUGAAACCUCAAAACUCAUCCCCAGUGACACAUUUCCUCCCAGAAGGCCACCUCCUGAUCCUUCCCAAACAGAAUGUACAAGCAUUCAAAUACAUGAGCUCACAGGGGCCAUUCUCAUUCAAAUUGCCACACUAAUUAAGCUAGUGAGGUUGCACCUUUUGUAUUUUCUUUCUGUCUCUUUCUCUCUUUCUUUUUCUUUCUAAAGAUUUAUUUAUUAUAUAUAAGUGCACUGUAGCUGUCUUCAGACACACCAGAAGAGGGCAUCAGAUCUCAUUACAGAUGGUUGUGAGCCACCAUGUGUUUGCUGGGAUUUGAACUCAGGACCUCUGGAAGAGCAGUCGGUGCCCUUAACCACUGAGCCAUCUCUCCAGCCCUCUUUCUUUCUUUCUUUCUUUCUUUCUUUCUUUCUUCCUUCCUUCCUUCCUUCCUUCCUUCCUUUCUCUUGUCUCCCUCUUUCCCUUCCUUCUUUCUUUGCUCCCUGUCCUACUGUGACAUGUGGUAUUUAUCUAUUUAAACAAGCAGUUAAGAAUUCUGCUGUAACUUUUCAUAUAAAUGUCUUUCCUAACUCAGGGACCUCACAAAGCCUCCAACUUGGACAAGAUGGCCUACCGGCAUAACCUCAGAACUUGGGUCAGAGUCUAGCCACUGUAUUUCAGGUUAGGCUCCCUCGCUUCAGCAUUCUGACCUGCUUUGAAAAGAGACUCUGUCUAGGGUCAUCACAGACAAAGCCCCAUCCCAAGUUCCAUUCAUAGCUGAAGCCCUUUGCCACCAGCUGGCUUCCUCUGAGAAGCCAAAUGGGCAGUCCUCCCUCUGUCCUCUGGUCUCUGACGGGACUUAAUGGUUUAUUUUUACAAAAAAUGCAUUGAGUCUUCAGUCCCAGACUCUGCUGGUUGCUUCAAUUUUCUUUAAAUAAAGAUAUCUAUAUGUAGCUCAGGCUAGCCUUGAACUCACUCAAUAGCCCAGGCUUCCUUGAACUUGGAAUCCUUCUGCCUCAGCUUUCCUGGUGAUGGGGUUGCAGGUGUGCACCAUCAUGCUGAGCUCUGUUCUAGCCACUUUGAUUAUCCUUAGUCCAGCGGGGAAAGUGUAACACUGUUCCUGUAGUAAGGCUGGGAAACCAUGAUGAACCCAACCUAAGAUACAGAGUAAGUCCCAGCGGUAGGAUGGGUACCACACCAUGGACUCAAGUACCCCUAUGUUAAACCCGCUUACUGUGUUUGUGAGCUGGAGCUUCAGGGAGGGACCAGAAGCACACCACUGCCACACCCAAGACUGAGUAGGACUAACCUCUGCCCCGUGAGCUCUCCCUAUUUUCAAGGGUGAUAUUCUGUUACCUGGGUGACGUGACCUGUCUGCCUCACCUGCUGUGGGUAGUCCAGGGUGAGUGGGCUUACAUAGAAGGCAGCUUCUCCCUAGUGGAUAGGAGUUCUCAGAUAACCCAGAUACAGAGUGCCCAGCGAAGCCAGCCAAGGAGGGACGGAUAAGAACUCUCUCAGGCCCAAUAGAGCUACUUACACUCCAGGUAACUUUCUAAAGUGCCCUUUCACCUUUGGGCCAGCCCUUGCAUCUGUAGCUAGGAAUAACACUCUCUUAGCCAGCAGCUCCAGGAGUGACAUGAAUGAGGUCGUUUAUCUGGAGGACAAGAUGGAUAUAGGACACAUUUCUAGAACUUUGCACAGUUCCCCACUGAAACUUACCAUAAUCACGUAGUGAUAAACAUCAGGACCGAGAACAGGAGGUAUUGCAUUCAAUUAGGGUUUUGCACGUAUCGGUUAUGAGAAGAACGUGUUCCAUUAGAUACAACGUAAGCUAAAUAGCAGGUGACGUGCAAGAACCCAUUUGAAGGUAUUGUAGGCUGUUCCUCCAAAACAAAGUAGCUAACAAAAGACAUCAGUUCUAGAGCCAGUGAGAUGGCUCAGUAGGCAAAGGCAUUUGCUGCCAAGCUGGAUGGCCUGGGUUCAGUUCUCAGGACCCACAUGGUGGAAAGAGAAAACCGACUUCCGCAACUUGUCUUCUGACCUCCAAACGUGCACUGUGGCACGUAAACCCGCCCCACGGACACACUGAAUAAAGUGGUUGGAUGAAAAAAAUGAGUUCUACAUUGUGCUGCAGAUGAUCUUCUUGGGUGAGUGCAGGGUGCAUAGUAGGUGAUCGGCAACUACUCCCUCAGAAGGGGUGAGCAGCGUCAGAGAUGACUGAGGUAGGAAGCUUAGGCCCCAUUCACACACAGCUCUAGACUUAAUAAGGAAUAAUGGACCCGGAGUCCCUGAGCCUUUAGGAAAGAUGGCCUUUGGCGGAACCCAGACGCUGUCCUAUAAUCCAAUAACCCCAGCUCUGAUUCGAUACGAGGCAGAGUAAUUUUAAAAGCCAUAAUGCCGGCGUAGCAGUAACGCGGCUCGAAGGGGGAUGGAUCCCCCCAUUAGGGUGACAUGGCGAGAAAAGCGAUGCAUCUUUUGGACCAAUCAAUUUAUUUUAGUGUCCCAGAUGUUCACAGCAACAGGAGCCAAUGUGAUCACAGCUGCCAUUGUGGCCAGCCUGCUGUCACGUGGAGAGAUAGAUGGCCUUUCCUUACCUACCAACCUGCACUGCCUCCAAGGCAGAGGACCCAUCCAUCUCCCAGAGAGAGGAGACAGAAGCCACAUUUGGGCUGCAAAUUCAGCUUGUAAUGGAGAAGCAAUGAAACAAGUUGCUCUCAUCCAUUGCUCUCCCAUCCGUUGCUCUCACAGGCUGGGGGAUUUUGAAGCCAGGGCAUGGCUGCGAUGGAAUUGGUACCCCAUGCCGACGCCAGGGGAAAUGCUGCCUGAAACAGUAUGAAGGCCCUUACCUGUCUCCCUUCGGUUCACUCCCUGUUUCCCAAGCAAACAUCAGAACUCAGUUCUUCACAGACCUGCUGUCCUUACAGGUGGAGCACAGCUGAGGGACGCCUGGAGGAUGGCUCAUGCCACAGUCCAUUUGUGAAGUCUCGUUCAUCCUCCAAAAAAGACAUCAAGUGGUGGUGAUGUGGCUAGCCUGGGUGGCCUUUCCUUCACAGGGGAGCAGUCUGAUCAUGUGGCUCUUGAGGUGCUAAUGGCUUUCAAGUAGCACAUAAAAUCCCAGAUGAAGUCAUACAUGUUCGAAAGCUGGGGAAGCUUUUUUUUCCCUUAAGACACUGAUUUGUUCCGUGUUCUGUGCAAUCUUCCCUUUUCUGGGGUGUAUCCCAUUCCUGUAAAUGACAAAGGGGACCAAUAUCAUAUGUGAUCAGAUAGCCUUAGAACUAUUGAGAACUGAAGCUGGUCAGAUGGCUCAGUAGUUGCUGCUCUUCCAGAGGACCCAAGAUCAGGUCCUGGCACCCAUAUCAGAUGGUUCACAGCCAAUAAGGGAUUGGACACAUUCUUCUACUUUCCAUGGACACCUGCACACAUGUGGCACACACACACACACACACACACACACACACACACACACACCCCACAGGCUUGCACAUACAAUUAAUAACAACAAAAAAAUUUAAAAAUCAUUUUUAGAAAUGACAAAAUGGUUUUUCAAUUUCUGGAACUAAAGCCUGUUUUUAUUAUUACAGCAGAAUUCCCUCACUACACAGUUAACAAGUGUGGACUAAUUUCUGCCAGCAUAGGCACAGCCACAAACAUGGAGACUUAAUUUUCUUUUCAGUGCUAGGAUGUGAACCUAGAGCCUCACACAGUAGUUAGGGGCUCUAUCCGCAAGCUAGAUCCUUAAUCCCAUGAGAGGAUCUUUGAGCUCCCAAAGCUACUGUGACCAAUGAGUCUCAUAGGAACACACAUUGUAGCUCAGUCCUAUCAGCCUGUAGAGGGCAAGGAUGAAAGGAAGGCAGGUAUGGGAGAGUGCUGGCUGCUGUAACAUGUAAGCCCCAGGAUUGCUACAGUGUGACCCACAAAGGCUGAGUUCUUGCUGACACCGUGUUAAAGAAAUGUUGCUGAUUUAGCUGAAGUUCAGGUGACUCUUUUUGCCCUCUGGUGACUUUCUGCCCUGUGGUGACUUGCUCUCCGUUCAGCCCACAGGGAGAUGGAGCAGAAGGGGAAGGCAGUAUUUGAGCAACAUGUAAACUCUGUGCAUGGACAUCUGCCAUGUCUCCCACAUGCAAUUGGCUGGUGCGUCCACCUCGUGGUUGGAAAAUACAAGUCAGGCGUGUUCUUAAAGGACCCAAGGACGUGGAUUUGCCUGUCUGCCAGGCUGGUCUCUAGUGUGGCAAACAGAACCCCAGAGGGUUAGUACAGUGUGGCAGUGCCCAUCGUCCCUCAGCCCUAACUAGUAAAAUUAUCUUUCCAAAUACAUCUAAAGCUUAGGUAUAAAGUUUAAAAAAUUUUUACAUUUAUGUAAUAUAUGUAUAUGUAUGACCCUGCAAAUCUGUGUGUGUCUGCAUGUAUACAGGCGUGCAUACGUAUCCAUGUGUGUCUCUCCACACAUAUGGAAAUGAGAGGAAAACCUGUGUUCUAUCUUUCCACCACAUGGGUUUCUGCUGACCAGGCUCAGCGGCAAGCCCCUUCGCCCACCACGCCGUAUACCCAGCCCUGUUCAAGUUUCCUUUAAUGGAAAGGAUUCGUUCUAGUGGAGAAAAUGGGAUUUUACAGCCAACUUUGCCUGAACAUAUUACUCUGUUGAAGAGUGCAUAUAUCUAAGGAGUAUGCCAUCGAAGACAGGUGACAGUCCCAUAUGGCCAUCUUGCCUCAUCCCCCAAACCCAGUGACGGGCAAUGGGAUAACUGACACUAUCAAACUUUUACCCCUCCUCGUCCAUUUCCACAUCUUCAAUAAUAUGACAACAAACAACAAAGCGAACUCUGGAAGCUGUCGGAGAUUAGCAUCUCAUGCCAUCUCUUUCCUGGCUUCAAGGUCAUUGUUGAUCUCUCUACAUUUUUUUAAAGAACCAUAAGUACCUCUAGAGAAAAUACAACUCAACUGCUUGUCUGCUCCAAUGGUUUUGAGUAUCGGACAAUAGCAUGAGGUGAUGCUCUAGUGUCCCCUGCUUAGUAUUCGUCUCAGUAACCUCAGCGUGCCAGCAGGGGAAAGACACCAGGAGCACAGGUGUUAUUUUCCAUCCAGCCUGGCUAUUCGGUGAUUUGUAGCAUCUUUCUGAAUGAAUGGUAAUAGCUGGGAGUCUGUAGGGAUUGGACGCCGGCCCCUUCGCUCUCAAAGGAGAAACUCGUACUAACAAGGGCAUUCUUGGCUUGUUCUGAAACACGAAAUGUUUUAGGAUUAUGACCUAUAGACUUUCCUUUCAUGUAGCUCUUCCUGUAGCUUGGAUCUUGGAGUUCCCAUUCCCCCUCCCCCCCCCAUCCCAAGACUGCGUGUGAAAAGGACUUGGCUCACAGGGUGUCAUCUGUAGAAGAUGGAGGAUGUGGAACAGGUGGAGAUGCUGUGUGACAUGCUUACCACACACACACACACACACACACACACACACACACACACACACACACACACACUCACUCCGAGGGAAACCUCUACAGACCAACUAAUGGACCGCACUGAUUUUAUCAGGGUUACUGGUAGGAGUAUGGGUGAGAGGUCAUUUACAGGAGCCGGGAGGACUCAAAAGCAGCUGCAGCACACAAAAUCCUGCCCUGACAGGGGCAAUAACUCCCAAAGGCUGCAACCUGGGAGCUCUCUGUGCAGCUCUACCCUCUGAAUGUCUCUCUGUCUCUGUCACUCUCUCAUCUCUGUCUCUUUCUCUACGACUCUCUCUCUGACCCUGUCUCUCUGUCUGCCUCUUUCUCUUUCUCUCUGUUUCUCUAUGUCCAUCGAUGUCUGCCAUGUUGUUCCCCCACUCCCACCUGACCCACUGACAGUUGGGCUGGUCGGUCUGCCUCUCCCGGCAGCUAUAACUAAGGAGGGGCUCUAAAGAAUCUACCGAGUUCCUGUGAAACCUUGUGUUAAUUUCCUGAGGUUCAGGAGCUUCACCUUCCUUAUUGGAGGCAAUGUUUCAACGUGGGGAAAAGUCUCAUCCAAGGAGGACUGUGGCUGGAAGGAGCCAUUCUGUGGGAACUGUUGGAAGCCCUCGAAGGAGAUUGGGGGCCACAAUGUAAUUGUUUCCUCCUUAACUCACCAGUUUAGUGAACUAUAAAGAUUUGUGAGGAAGACGAGACAGUGUAGCCAAAACAGGACUUCUCUCUUCAGGCAACAGUUGUGCAUAGAGAAACUAUUAGCAAAUGCCUGUGUCAGGUUCGAAUGUCACUCACAGGUCUUCCUGCCGUGAUGCAAUCACUUGACACAGGCUUCAAGCAAUGGGGGCCAGUCAUGGCAGACUGAAGUCACCAAGCCCCAUAAUGACCUUCUCUCUUUGGAAGGUGAUUAUUUCUUGGUCUCUUGUUCCAGCAGUGGAAAGCUGACCAGCACCCACACCAGUAUUCAACUAAUAAUACUCAUGGGUGUCUAUCUGGGCCAUUGACCAGUCUUCAAAGUUGAAUUUGCAUGAACCUAUCUCAUAAGCUGUCCACUACCUAUAGUGGGGUACUAGGCUGUUUCCAGAACUUUCUCUGCCCUAAAAUAACACCGUGAUAGAAGUUGUACUGAAUGUCUUCGAGUGCAACUUCUAGGUUGUUCCUUAGUGGGAGUCAAGAAGGCAUAGAUAUUAAAAGAUCAAAGGGAAUGAGUGUUCUCAAAGGAUCUUUUGUUUGCUUAUUCUUACUCCCUGACUUAAUACCCCUAACACAUUUGCUAGUUAGACUGCAUCCGUCUUCAUCAAAGCCAGGCCGUGUGUUGCUACUGAAACCAAGAUAACGAUGACCAAUCUAAAGCCAGGCCUCCAUCUCGUAAACAAUUCAGCCUCACUCACACCUCAAGUUUGGGGAUAGACUCAUGCUAUUGGCCGGUUCUGGAGCCUCAUGGGAGAAAAGUAGGUCACAGUGACAUGAAGGGAAUCGUAGGAUGCCAGGUAGGUCACGUGAAGGGGAUUAUGGGAUGCCAGGCCUUUCUUCUCUCUUUGCUUCCCAGCUGUAUGGGGUGAGUAGAGUCCUGCACCACACACUCCCAUGGGAUAUCUGCAUCAUAACAGGUUCCAGUGGCUGUGGCUGGAGUACUCCAAAGGGUGAGCCCAAAUGAGCCUUUCCACAACUGAAGUGGAUUGUCUCAGGUGUUUGAUAUAGUAAUGGGAAGCCAACACAACAGCCUCCCUCACUGAACUACGGAGUCCACUGAGGGUCUUUAUUUCAAAUUUUGAUAUUUUGUACACCGUGUGUUUAUUUUACACCAGCCUUAAGUUUUAAGACCAAUCAACGUGUCAUGCCUUUGUCUUACUGGGUCCUAUUAGUUUGCAUUUAUUUAGUGGCUUGCAGUGAGUGUCCUUUUUUUUAACCUCAUCCUCACCCUGUAAGUUGGAACAUUCUAGAAUGCUGGUGGGAUGGAAAAUUCUAGAAUGCCCUCUGACAUUUUAAUCCCUGAAAGGGAACACCUGAGUGUGCAGAUUAGCAGGCUGAUAAAAGAUCAAGGACCGUUAAAUACUGUGACCUGUGAGACCCGUUGUGGGCGGCGUGCAUGCUUAUCAUGUCUAAAUGGCUGGAAAUGGACAGGCCAAGGAGGGCCCACGCCAGCUGGCCGUGGAUAAUGGAAGCUUGGAGCCUCCUUUGAAGCUUCCGCAGUAAGCCCUUCUGCCCUCCUGAUACAAACACUUCACCAAGAUUCCUCCUGAGAUCUCCAACUCCUCACAUCGGUUAAAAAUACCAUUUAGGGGAGCUGUGGGCCCUAUUAGUCUCAGCUUUGAUCUUUUGAAUCUCAUCACAGCCUCGCAGAAUACUCAUGCCAUUUGCGCUGUUUCAUACCAAAGCGAAUGGGGAUUAUCUCCUGCACCCACCACAUACUUUUCAGUCCCUGGUGUGGGGUGUGGAGACAAAGGCUAAUGGCCCCUGGGAAGCUAGUAGCCAGGUUUAGAAUGCAGCCACCUCCAUUUAGAGACCAGGAUGCCAUUUGGGUCCUGAAGGUAAAUAUGCAGUUGUCACUACUAAAUGCCAGAUUAAAAGACAUUGUUCUCACACAAUUAAAGUCAUUUUUACAACGUUAAGAACUCCUCCACCUCAGGGACUCACUCAUUCCAAAUGUAUUGAACAUUUAUCAUGGUCUUGGGCUAGUCUCUGGGUUUUCAGAAAGGGGUGGACAGAAGAGUCACUCUUAGAAGCGACAGCCGGGAAGAUGAGGGAGACAAUUAGGAAGAAAAGAAUCCCUUCGUGGUUCCAGGUGGUAAGGGAUAAAAGAGAAGAGCGGAGGACCCAAGUGGAGCCCAGACACCUGGUGCUCUGUGGAGCUGUGCUAUCUUUUCACCCAUAGAACAAUAUGAUAUAGAUUAUCAUUUCUUACACUUACGCAGUGGGGAAAUCAAAGAGAGAUCCAGCGACAUGCCGGGAGGCUCCCGGAAAUAGGCAGGGAGUGUGGGCUUCCAACCUGUGGUAUUUGGGUUAAGGUUCCCGAUCCUGUUCUAAGGUUCCUGAUCGUGUUCUAACUUUCCCAUCAUUGUUUAGCCAACCUCUGUAGGAGGCGCAAAGCUACUAAGUCCUGCUGAACCAGAUUGCCUCUUACUUCAUGCAGAUUGACACUCUGGUGGCCAUGAUGGUCAUAGAGACCCCUCCCCAACACUUCUAUUCCAUGACAUGCCAUACCCACCUCUUGGCAGUCUAUGAUGCCACUGCCUUUUCAUCUGUGACCUUGAAUCCUGAGAACAGGACAUAGGAGUCCAUCAGGGCAUCGUAACACCCUUUUGUCUGGAGAAGGAACGUGGACUCGACCCAGGAUUUUUUUUUUUUUUUUGGUUCUUUUUUUCGGAGCUGGGGACCGAACCCAGGGCCUUGUGCUUCCUAGGUAAGCGCUCUACCACUGAGCUAAAUCCCCAGCCCCUCGACCCAGGAUUUUAAGGCUCACUUACCUUCUCUGUUCCCCUUUCCCAUACUUCAUCAUAACAAACACACAGCUAGUCCAGCCCAGUCCCACAAAGAUUGCUUUUCGGGAGGCUUCCCUUCAUAGGAGCGGCAGCAACGCCACAGGCCCUGAGCAAAAGGCUCAAACCUCUGGGCUGUCUGGCUUGGUUUCAGGAGGGACAGGAAACAGCUAGUCUGCAGAAUUGCCAUUGCUACCCUGCCCCUCUGCUUCUGGCAGACACAUGGAAAUGAGGGAAGAAAGAGAAUCCAUUUCAAACUCUCUAGAUUGAUAAAGCAAAAAAUGGGAAGUCACCAAGUGUCCCUCGAUUGCUAGGGAACUUGUUCCUGACUCCUCAGUAUGGCGGAUAAGGAUCUGGCCUCAAAAGCUUCGAGGUCUCUCUCCUGGAAACAUCAGAACCAGGAUAAAAAGUUUUCUAUUGCACUCAACUUCCAACCAGCCCCUCUGGCUUAAAAUAAAACCAAAUCUUCUGAGAAGCUGUAACUUUUGGGGAAAUCCCUCUGCCACUCACAGAGCCUUCUGAAAUUAAGGCACAAGUGUGAAUUUGAAUAAGCAGGUGGUGCUUUUAGAUAAUCAUAUGACAAGGGUGACUUAGUAUGAGUGCCACUAACAGCUCCUUAUCAACACACCUAGUCCUCAGAUUCAGUUUCAGACAGUGACUAUGUAUAGCAAUUGGGAUUAUCCAGAAGCAGCCUGUUACUCAUUAUUCGAGAGUCAGGGCCACCUGUACCCAUGCAAAGAUGGCCUAUGUAGGUAGGUCACAUCCCCAGCAAUGCCAACAUUAAAGCGGCUUCCUAUUAGUGCCUCCUGAGGGCUACCUGUCCAGAUGUCAUGAGUCUUCUCUGAGCCCAUUGAUAGAGCUGGCUCCUGUAGUCCAGUGGACAGGAAACGAUUCAGAUUUGUAGUGGUCCUCCAGUGGGAUGCCAGCUAUCGUGGAGAUGGCACAAGCAUGGUUGCUGGACUCGGAACCGUCUCUCCAAGUGAGGCACCCCUGGGACUUGUCACAGUGCUGAUAAGAAAGCACUUGGGUCUUAGUAGUUCCUUCGCAUGCUUGAAAGUUACUACGAUGUUUUCGUUUGCGGGGGUCAUGUCUAUCGAUAUUUGCUACUGGUCUAGCUUUAUUUCUGUCGUUGUGACAUGGAAUCCAAAAGCAGCUUAGGGGCAGAAAUGGUCUAUCUGGCUUACACUUCCAGGUCAUAGUCCAUUAUCGAGGGAAAUCAGGGCAUGAAUUCAGUCAGGACUUGAAGCAGAAAUCAUGGAGGCAUGCUAUUUGCCGGCUUACUCCCUGGCUUGCUCAUGGGCUCAUGCUUUAAUUAGCUUUUUAGGCAGCCCUGCACCACCUGCAUAGGGGAUGGUGCCGCCCACAGUGGGCUGGGUCUUCCUGCUUCAAUUUACAAUCAAGACUAAUCCUCUAGAGACACAGCCCAGCCUGAUAAAGCAACUCAACUGAGACACCUGUCAGGUGACUGCAGGCUGUUUUAAGCUGACGAUACUAGCUAUAAAUAGCAAGUAAAGAUGAAGAAUUUUGGAGCACCUUUUGAGGUGGGAUCCCACGUCAUGCUCCCCGUGGAGCGGAUGAAUAGUUUAUCUAGAGUCAAUAAGCAGCGGCCUACCUUAUACUAACGUAAAUAGUAUGCGUGUGAAAAAAAUUGCUAUAUCUUGGUAAACAGGAAAUGCGGAGGAAUGUCAUCAUGUGACAGUCCUGAUCUUUUCUGUGUGGCUAGGCAACCAUGCCAUCUGCUCCAGUUCCCGAUGUGUGAUAAUAAGCCACCCUCAAACGGGAAAAUUCAACUGUACGCUCCCCGGAGAAUAAAAGGGAAAAUUGUUCAUAACGUCUCAGGCUGACUAUAAAAGCAGCCUUGGUCUCAUCAUAGAGGAAGACUUGAGGGCACAUAGGGGUCUUGGGUGACACUUUGAGAACUCCUGAGGCAGAGCCUUAACAGAGAACCUUUGAGCAUCUACAUUACAGGGAAUUCUGCAGGAUCUAGCCACAGGGCUUAAGUGUCUGUCCAACGUUCUCAUUAUUACUUUUUUUUCUUUUUCUUUUUUUUUUUUCGGGGCUGGGGACUGAACCCAGGGCCUUGCGCUUGCUAGGCCAGUAAGUGCUCUACCACUGAGCUAAAUACCCAACCCCUUCAUUAUUACUUUUUGACCUGCAACUUUCAUUCUGAGGACAGAAAAAUGACAUUGGAUGAUAAACUGAUGAUGCAGAUUAGCAUACUUUUUCUGUUUUGUUUGUUUGUUUGUUUGAUUUUUUUUUUUGUUUUAUGUGUGUCUUACAUUUGCUGUUCAAAGCUGAGUUUAUUGAUACAGCCUCAGCUCAUCUGGCCUGAAUCCUACCCUCCUAGCCUCAUGCACACAUUUCUGCAGACUCUUCAGCACCCAGCCUGGCCCCUGUGGGCGUCUUCGCUCUUCUCUGUUCCUCGGCUGCUCCGGUGGGGCAUCGAGAGCAGGUGUUAGGCAGCCCUGACUGCUGCCUCUUCGGCAAGCUGCAGGCCACUAAGAUUUGGGUGAAAUGGUUUAUGGAUGAUAAAAAUCCCUUCUCACAUUAAGCAGAAGCAGACUCUGCCUGGCUCUGGCCACGCAGGUGCUUGGUGCACUGGCUUUUACUGAGAUGUGCAAAUUAAUGGUGGCUCUACAGUCUGGGGAGGGGCGGGAGCGGUGAUUUACGGACCUCUCUCUUACCAUCUGUUCCCUGGCUUCAAGGCACUGCUUCUCGUAUCCCGAGGAUGUAAGGGGAAAUCAUGUUAAGCGGUCACAAAUUUUCCUUAAAGUCUCAUUUUCAGAGAAACCGCAGAAGCAUCUCACAAGAUAAGUAGCUCCUUUUUUUUUUUUUUUUUUUUGAGGUCAGUAUGGUAGAGAAGGGGGUGGGAUUUGGAGUUCGGGUUUGUUUUUUUAAUUAAGACUUAAAUGGUGAUUCUCUUAGAAGGAAAUGGAGAAUGUCUGUAGCUCAGACGGGGAGACAUUUGAUCAUUUUUUGCAACAUCCUGGCUGCCAGCAGGCGGGCAAGAGCAGGUGGGCACCAGCAGAGGGAUUCCUCGAUGUCCCUGGCAACGGGCACCACAGCCCCAACUCUGGCAAUUCUGCUUUUUAACUCCCCACUUCUAAAUCCCAGUCAGACUCUAUUUGUCUGUCCUGUCCAGUACAAAAAUUGUGUGACUGUGGUUCACAGACGCUUUACAGGGUGUGGGGAGAUGGCUCAGUGAGUAAACUGCCUCCUAUGUAUACACAGGGCCUGAAACUGGAUAUGCAGUACCCGUGUAAAAGGUCAGUCAUGCAUACACAUGCAUAUCAUCUUAUCGUGGGAAGGCAGAGAGACAUAUACACUCCUGAAGCCUAUUGGUCUAUCAGCUUUACUGAAUGAAUUGAUGAGUUCCAAGUUCAGUGAGAGACCCUGUCUCAAAAAAACAAUAGAAUUCACCUAAUGUUCAUCUCUGAUGUCCAUAUGCAUUUGUAUACACACACACACACACACAUACACACACACACACACACGUGUACACAAAUACAUUGGCAUGGAUACAGGCAUGGAAGCUUUCAAGAAACCCCACAAUGCUUAAGUCUCUACAUGCUUUGAUCUUGUAUCACGCAAACAGAAGAGAAUAUGAUUUAUACAUGAAGUUAAGGAAAACAGCCAUACUUGGCUCUGUGUAAGGGUUUUCCCAGGAUUUCACCAAGCAACAGGUUCCUGUGAUGCGUGGGAAAUGGGACUUGGAGCUGGGAAGUUAAAGGUACGGUCUGCCGUUCGGGAGCAGGUCUGCCUUCCACAGCAUGCUGCCCAGCCGUGUCUCACAGCCUCAAGUCGGGAAGAAUUGUUCUUAAUGCCCAUCUCCGAUAUUUAUUCAAAGGCGAUUUUAGCACAUCAUUUCCUAAAUAGACUUAGAAAAUGACUUUUAUAGCUACGGUACUUGUAUCGCCUUUUCCUUGUGUGUUUAUGAGUGUACGUGGGGGCCGGUGUGCACACGUGUACAUGGGGAGGUCAACCUUGGGAACCUUCUUCAACUCCUCUUCACCUUAGUUUAAGACAGAGUUUCCCACUGACCCCAGGGCUCUCUGAUGUGGCUAGGCUUUGCCUGCUAAUGAGUUCUGGGACCCUACCAAUCUCCACUUCCCAGGGCUGGGAUUAUUAGUGCAUAUACUGCACCUGGCUGUUUUAUGGGGGCCACUGAGGCUUGAUCUCAGGUCCUCAUGAUCUCUAGGCAAGCAAUUGCCGGCUGAACCAAGUGAGCCUGGUCUAUUCUAGGAGCUGACAAGGUUUACUGAUGGACUCUGUGAGAUGCACAAAGAGCAUACGGAACAGAUGAAAGGGUUGCGGUAGCCAUUUCCUGGCCGAUGGCAAAGCAGGUGAUACCAGUAGCUACUUCGGGAGCUCGGAACUAGAGAAUCCACAUUUGGGAUGCCUGGUAGACACAAAAGGGAAGCUGGACACUGGGUGCCUUUGUUGCAUAAUGGUGAUCAUCAAAAUUCUAAAAGGAAGUAAAUAAGCGUAAGUGAGGAAGGACCUUGUCCUGGGACACAGUCCCAGUGCAGAGCCUUGGUGCUUGUAUCUCCCUUUACAAGGAACACCUUCUUAAAAAAAACAAAAAACAAAAAACAAAAAAAAAAAAAAAAAACAAGGAACACCUUCUUAAAAAAAACAAAAAACAAAAAAACAAAAAAACGAGGAACACCUUCUUUCUAAUUCUCCAAUGCUCCAUGAGUUACCUCUCUGCUUCACUGACUGCUAUCUUUGACAGUGCAGCCUCUCUCUCUCUCUCUCUCUCUCUCUCUCUCUCUCUCUCUCUCUCUCUCUCCCUUCCCUGCAAGGCCACUCCAUUCUCUUUUGUUUUACCCACCUCAUUCUUCAUGUUUAUCUUUUCUUCCGAGUCUCUACAAUUACCUGACAUGCUAACGCCUGUUUUAUCUAUCAAUCAAUCUAUCUGUCUGUCUAUCUAUCUAUCUAUCUAUCUAUCUAUCUAUCUAUCUAUCUGUGUUUUUUCUAUCUGUGUGUCUGUGUUCAUACCAUGCAUAGUUCAUACUUGAAGAUCAGAGGACCAUUUGUAGAAGUUGGAUCUUUCCACUAUGUGGAUCCCAAGAAUCAAACUCAUGUUAUCAGGCUUAGAGCCUUUAGGCACUGAGCCAUUGAGCUGGCCCAAACAGGCGUCUUUGAAAUGCACUCUCCCAAUUUUGUUCAAGAAAUAUAUAGCGGCAGGAUUACAUGAUAAAAUUAGGUACUGCAGUAUGGACAAUUAAGGGUGCGAAAAUUCAUUGAAUAUGAAUUUUCAUAUUCAUACUUAUUGAAUAUGGGGUACAAAUAAAUCAGGCCCAAAUUGCAGUACCAAACACUGCCUCUUCAAAGCAUCCUAAGAUAUAAGACAUGGACUGUGGGGAGGCCUGAGAGAUGGUGAUUGAGAGCCCAGGUAAAGUGCUGUGUUGGCAGAAGCAAAGAAAGAGAAAACUUUAAAGCAUCUUCUGGCCAGGCAACCUUUAGGAAGAAGAUCAUGUCUGGGUUUCUCUUUUGGAGUGUUUGGCCAUCUCAUGUUUGUGACUUAAGAAUUCUCAGAAUCUUACGUACACAGGGUGUUUUUCACAGAAGCCACCUCCCCUCUCCCCCCACCGCCUCACUGGAAGGUUUGAGUCACUCAGGAUCUGGAGUGGAGUGACAAGCCUCUUCAGAUAAUUGCUGUGAAUGGGAGUCAGCAGAUUACUUACCAGAUGCCCAAGACCACCCCAAUCACAGGACAAAGGAACAGGUUGGACAGUCUGUGACUCAGCUGAAGAAAAUCCAAAGACUUCAAAAAUAUUUUAUAUACCUACAUUUAUGAAUCUAGCAAUGAGUUAUCGCCAUUUAGCAAGAAGAUAGUUUAUCUAGUUUAUUUCCCACAAUCUUUACAAGUGGGAAAAACCAACGUUGCGCCACAAACCGCAAAAUGCCAGGAAAGAAAAAGAAUUCGCUGUUCUUUAUUUAACUCAACUGCAGCCAACUGAGUUUCCUCCUUGUUAGCUUCUUUUCCUCCCAAACAAAACAAAUUUAUAAUAGAAACACUUUCCUGGCACACGAUGUAUUUGGCUUUAACACUGUUUAUCUGUUUUACAAAAAUAUGUUUGCGAACUCCUCUGAGCGUUUCUUGGAAAUAGAAUGCUUUUAGAUAGAGGCAUUAUUGAGGUGUGAUCCUCUGAAUUUAAAAAGUCUGAAUAUGACAUAUUUCAUACCCACGUACAUAUUUUAUAUAAAAAUAUGGUCAUGUUGGGGAAAAAUGAAAAAGAUGAACAGAUGUAAAGAAUUCGUCGUCCUGUUUGCUCUCGGGCCAUUCAUUUUCAGGCAGACAGUCUCUCAUGGUUUAUAUUUUCCCAGAAUUAUAUUUUUCACAGUAGAUAGGAACAUUCCGUUGCUAUGGAGUUCCUCUCAGGAACAAUGCCUUUCAACCGUAUUUGGAUCCAAGAAACGAGUCAGGUGCUUGAGAAGUGCCAGCCUCAGUUUCCAACAUUUCUUGCUUGGAAGAGGCUGAUAUCACUACUAAAAUAAUCACCCACACAGGAAGGAAGACAUUCUGGUAAUUCACUUGUCUCCAGGGAGUUUCAAACCAUGCUGGUUACAGAAGGUACUUGUAGAUUGACCAACCUGCUCCUGACACCAGUGCAAACACAUUUCUAUGUGGAGAAAGCACCAUGCAAGGUCUCCUGAACUCCAUUUAUGCUGACCAUAUUAUCUGCAGAGUCUUCCAAAAGAAUGAAAACACUUUAUGUUUAUGCUAUCCAGAGAGGCAGCCACUGGCUUUAUGGGCUGCUUGUGUGACUGAAGAACUGAUUGUUCAAGAUAUUUAGUUUAUUAAAUUUGCUUUUAGACAAAUUUGCACAUAUAUAAUACAUAUUUUUCUAGUUUGAUGUCUGCUGCUGUGAUUAAACACUAGGGCCAAACUCAGCUUAGGAGAAGAAUGAAUUUUAUUCAGGUUUUAAUUCCAGAUGAUAGUCUAACAUUGAAUGAUGCCAAGGAGUGUGCUUAAGGCAAGAUGUGAAGGCAGGCCUGCCUGGUAUUCCUCCCAGUAUUCUCUGUAACCAAAGAAAUCACCUCACAGGGAAAGUAGUAUAGUUGAAAACAUGGAGAAUGAAGCUUGCUAACCAACAUAUAUUUAGCCUGAUUUCUUAUACAAUUCAGAACCAUCUGCCUAGGGAAUGGUACUGCCCACAAGGGGCCUGACCUUCCUAGCAAUCAACACAUUCCCUAAUAGACCUGCCCACAGGCUAAUCUGAUCCAGGCAAUUGAGAUUCUCUUUGCAGAUAAUUCUGCCAUGUGUUGAACUUAAGAGGAUACAUUUUUGACUACUUUUACCACUACAUCCCUAUCAUCAACAUCAACCUCUCCCCAAGGGUAACCAAAGAUAAUUUCAGACAGGUUGGAGGGAGUGGCAUUGUGGAGCACGAUCCUGAUAGUUUCAUCUUGGGGGCCUCGAUGUUGUCAUAUGUAAAAUGGAGAUUAAAGCAAAUCUGCCUACUAAUGAGAGGAAUGGUCUGUUGAGCACCACCAUGCUCUGGAAGCUCCAGGAAUUCUUCCAAAAGAAGAAGCUGGACAGUAGAAAAGCAGCACACUGGGACAUGCUGGGAGACUUGGGAGCUGUUCCCUGCUGCAGUGUUUCCUAGAAACACGGCCCUCAGCAGCCCAGGAGUGAGCCAGGCCCAGGCGGCCCCCUAGAAAAUGAAUUGCAAAGAGCUGUGACCUUUGGCUUAAAAAUCACUUCUUCCUCUCAUAAAAUCAUCUCAUGACUUCCCC